rnacentral:lncRNA from 1 species
UUACAAUACACAUAUAAAUAUAAUUGACAUACACCAAUAUUCAGAAAUAAAACGUUUCGUUUUAAAAGAAAAAGAAAACAUAAACAUGGAGAAAUUUUGAGCAGUAAAAUUCAUCAAAAGAGGCAGAAAAAGAAGUUGAGAAGCAGUAGAAAGCUGUUCAGGGAAUAAUGGCUAUGAUGUGGGGCCGCAUCAAAAUGGGUAUUAUACCUGUGUCACAUACUCAGAAACACAUGUAAUAUGCUAAAAAGCUGAUAUUGUAGCCGUGUCCAUGGCUUUAUGUGUAUCACAGUUCAUCUGUCUUUACAGAAGAAAUUACUCCAGCCUCUGGAGUAUAAGCCUGCCUUAUGCGGCUCUUUUAUGAGUUCAAGUAUGGUCCCUAUAUAUGCGUUUAGCUAAUGCUAUUUAUAAUCCUCACUUGAGGUCAUUGUGGUGCUC